rnacentral:rRNA from 1 species
UUUGGAGGGCAAGUCUGGUGCCAGCAGCCGCGGUAAUUCCAGCUCCAAUAGCGUAUAUUAAAGUUGUUGCAGUUAAAAAGCUCGUAGUUGAAUUUCGGGAUUUGUCAGUUGGUCGGGCUUMACUGUCCGUAUUGACUUGAUGGAUUCUUACCUUCUGAAUAACCAGCAUGCUAUUAAGUUAGUGCGUUGGGGAAGCAGAUCUAUUACCUUGAAAAAAUUAGAGUGCUUAAAGCGAGCUAGUGCUUGAAUAGAUUAGCAUGGAAUAAUAAAAUAGGACGGCAUGGUUCUAUUUUGUUGGUUUCUAGGAUCACCGUAAUGAUUAAUAGGGAUAGUUGGGGGCAUUAGUAUUCAAUUGUCAGAGGUGAAAUUCUUGGAUUUAUUGAAGACUAACUUCUGCGAAAGCAUUUGCCAAGGAUGUUUUCAUUAAUCAAGAACGAAAGUUAGGGGAUCGAAGACGAUCAGAUACCGUCGUAGUCUUAACCAUAAACUAUGCCGACWGAAUCGACGAGUACCGCAAUGGCCUCUCCUACYUCUWCUCCMAAAACAGACAWUAACARRRRGGGGAC